rnacentral:misc_RNA from 1 species
GUAGGUGAACCUGCGGAAGGAUCAUUACAGAGAACCUGCCCCUCGGGGUAGAUCUCCCACCCUUUGUUUAUAUUACCCUUGUUGCUUUGACAGGCCUGUCUCCUGACUGCUGGCUCUUGCUGGCCUGUGCCUGUCAGAGGACCCUAAAACCUUGCCAUUAAAUGUCGUCUGAGUAACAUACAAUUAUUAAAACUUUCAACAACGGAUCUCUUGGUUCUG